rnacentral:rRNA from 1 species
CCUACGGGGUGCUGCAGUGGGGAAUAUUGCACAAUGGGGGAAACCCUGAUGCAGCGACGCCGCGUGAGUGAAGAAGUAUUUCGGUAUGUAAAGCUCUAUCAGCAGGGAAGAAAUAAAGUCCUUCGGACUUUGGACGGUACCUGACUAAGAAGCCCCGGCUAACUACGUGCCAGCAGCCGCGGUAAUACGUAGGGGGCAAGCGUUAUCCGGAUUUACUGGGUGUAAAGGGAGCGUAGACGGCAGCGCAAGUCUGGAGUGAAAUCCCAUGGCUUAACCAUGGAACUGCUUUGGAAACUGUGCAGCUGGAGUGCAGGAGAGGUAAGCGGAAUUCCUAGUGUAGCGGUGAAAUGCGUAGAUAUUAGGAGGAACACCAGUGGCGAAGGCAGCAUACCGGCGCUCAACUGACGCUGAGGCACGAAAGCGUGGGGAUCGAACAGGAUUAGAUACCCCAGUAGUC